GUCGUUCUCUUUGUUGUGCUCCGUAGUUUCGCUGGCACCUGUCAGCGGCAGAGAAAUGACAGACGAGUCCAUAUACGUGGCUACAAAAAGUAGUCUCGAGCACAGAGCUGAACUCCAAACGUCGUCAUCGGUUGGUCUGAACUUAGGAGAUGGUGGUGGCCCCUAUGCAGCCCUCAGCUCAACAUGUUCAACCUGACGAGUCGCAUAUCUAACUGGAUCUCCAAAUGCCAACCAAUACGGCAAGUGACUGUGCUGAUAACUGGCCUCAGCAAGGCCGGAAAAACAUCCACAGUGAGGGCAAUCUUGAGAGUCCCACUGGAAGAAAAAGAAGAGCCUGAGGAAUGUGUGCACACAGAAUUGAGAGUGGACAACUUCCUGGUCACUGUGCUGGAAGGAGGUGGUGCUUCAGCAGCUCCUGAGGCCUGGAGGCACCACUGUUGCGAGGCCCAUGGUAUCAUUUUUGUGGUAGAUUCCAGCGACAGGACACGGGCAGAGGAGGCCAAGAACCUGCUGACAGACCUGCUAAAGCAGCCCACGGUGGCUGGCAAGCCCAUCUUAGUGUUGGCCAACAAGCAGGACAAGAGGAAUGCUAUGCUGGGCAAUGAGCUAAUUGAGAUCCUGUCACUGGAGAAACUGAUCAGCCAGAGCCAAUCUCUCUGUCAUGUUGAGCCAUGCUCUGCUUUGCUGGACAUGCGCAGGUGCUCAGACAGGAAGACAAUGCUGGGCUUGCGGUGGUUGCUGAGGGCUGUGCUCCUUGACUACCACAAGUUCUGUGCCCGUGUGGCCCAGGACUGCAGGCAGACUGUGAAUAGUGAGGAGGGGGAGAGAAAGAAGCACAAGAAGGCUGAGAGAGGGCUGAGUAAAUGUAAAGAAGCAAAGAAAGUCAACACAUGUAAAACCAGACGUUACUGCAAACAGAAAGCACAAGCGAAGGAGAAGAGGACUACGGAAAAAAACACAGGGGACAAACUGCGGCCCACUGGAAAUAUCCUGGAUAAGGAAAACACAAUCAACAUGAUAAAGAGGAAAAAGCAGCGAGUGAAAAUGAGGAAAAAUGUGAAAAGAAGGCCAGGCUGUAAGGAAGAAGAGGAGGCGGAGGAGAGGGGUAUGGAGACAGGACCAGAGCAGAAAGAGGAAGGACAUAGCUAUGCCCUACUGCCUGGUGACAGCAUGAGGUCAAAGCGUAAACCCAAAAGAGUGAACGAGACCUUUCUGGAAUCAACUGAAAAUUCUAAAAGGAAGAAAGCACAGCAAGUUUUCAACCCACCUAUCUGAUGCUGUGCUGAAGAUGUCCAUCAAAAGGAGCACCAAAAGUCAACAUAAGGACAUUAGAUGCAAGCAUUCAGAAGAUAUACACAGCCAUUCAUUUAGCUAAUUUCUCACUUGGUGACCUUCUCCUUAUCCUCCUUAUAUGGGGUGUCAGUGUCAAAUAAUGGUUAGGGAAUAUGAGUUGCAAAUUCAAGGCUCAAUUUCUAGGGAAGAAAGAAAAGGAGAAGAAAAAUAUGACAACAGUUAUUAAGAAAAACAAGAUCAAUUCUGCAGAGGUAGCAGCUGAAUAUUCCCAGCCAGUUGACCUUUCUUAAAAACCUCUG